CAAUAGCGUAUAUUAAAGUUGUUGCAGUUAAAAAGCUCGUAGUUGGAUUUCUGGUAGGAGUGACCGUGCCAGACUUGAUUGUCUGUGUAUUGUGUUGUCUCCAGCCAUCCUUGUGGAGAACUUUUCUUGCAUUAAUUUGUAGGGAUUGGGACCCGCAUCGUUUACUGUGAAAAAAUUAGAGUGUUUAAAGCAGGCAAUCGCUUGAAUACAUUAGCAUGGAAUAAUACGAUAGGACUUUGGUACUAUUUUGUUGGUUUGCAUACCAAAUUAAUGAUCAACAGGAACAGUUUGAGGAUAUUCGUAUGAACAUGUCAGAGGUGAAAUUCUUGGAUUUUGAUCAGACGAACUACUGCGAAAGCAUUUAUCAAGGAUGUUUNCAUUAA
rnacentral:rRNA from 1 species